AGAGUUUGAUCCUGGCUCAGGAUGAACGCUGGCGGCGUGCCUAACACAUUGCAAGUCGAGUGCUGAAGUCCCCGCAAGGGGAUUGUAGGCACGGCAGACGGGUGCGUAACGCGUGGGUAACCUUCCGUUAAGACGGGAAUAACUCGGGGAAACUCGAGAUAAUGCCCGAUGUGUACUGAAGCGCAAGCGGAGGAUAUGAAUGGCCGCCCGCAAGGGUGGCGCUUGACGAGGGACCCGCGUCCCAUCAGGUUGUUGGUGAGGUAAUGGCUCACCAAGCCUACGACGGGUAGCUGGCGUGAGAGCGCGACCAGCCACACUGGAACUGAGACACGGUCCAGACUCCUACGGGAGGCAGCAGUGGGGAAUCUUGGGCAAUGGACGAAAGUCUGACCCAGCGACGCCGUGUGGAGGACGAAGGCCUUCGGGUCGUAAACUCCUGUCGGGAGGGAAAAAACUCUUGCCGGUGAAUAAUCGGCGAGAUUGAUGGUACCUCCAAAGGAAGCCCCGGCUAACUACGUGCCAGCAGCCGCGGUAAUACGUAGGGGGCGAGCGUUGUCCGGAAUUACUGGGCGUAAAGCGCAAGCAGGUGGGAAGGUAAGUUCUGUGUGAAAGAUCCAGGCUCAACUUGGAGACCGCAUGGAAUACUGCUUUCUUGAGGGGAGGAGAAGUGAGCGGAACUGCCGGUGUANCGGUGAAAUGCGUAAAUAUCGGUAGGAACACCCGUGGCGAAAGCGGCUCACUACCUCUUUCUGACACUCAAUUGCGAAACGUGGGGAGCAACGGGANUAGAAA
rnacentral:rRNA from 1 species